AAAUAAACAAACAAACAAAAAACAAAGUUGGGAAGGGCCAAGUAAGAAUAUUCAGAGAAGCUCCUUAACACCAACAGGCUUUCCUCCACUCUACCUUGGCCACAGUCUCAAGUGGACAUACCUUAUCUUGUCAGCUCUGAUCACCUCAAGCCUCCCACUCUGAACAUCACCUCCUGUACUUCCAGCUCAGCAUUUUCAGAUCAUAUCAGCCUGUGGAAAUUCAAGAGGAAUGUUGAUGUGAGCCAACCUUGUCUUACUUUAGCUGAGAAGAUCAACAUCCAGAAAAGGACAAAUGACUUAUCCAAGGUCACACUGCUGAGAGGGUCGGAAGUUGAUUUAAAACUCAGCCUCCUCAAAAUGAUAGCGAUGGAGACACAUUAGUUGUUGAUGGGGAGAGAGUGGGUAUGGCUACACAGAGGUCUCACCAGAGAGAUCUGUUUGGUGGGGGAGCAGUUCUGCAUUUUACUUGAAGAGGUAGUAGUUACACAAAUUUGCAUGUGAUAAAACAACACAGAAUUAGGCACACACAUUAUACCCACGUCAGUUUCCUGGCUUUGAUACUUUACAUAAGAUGUAACCCUUGGAGGGCCUGGCACGGUGGCUUACCCCUGUAAUCCCAGCACUUUCGGAGGCUGAGGUGGGCAGAUCACCUGAGGUCAGGAGUUUGAGACCAGCCUGGCCAACAUAGUGAGACCCCGUCUCUACUAAACAUACAAAAAUUAGCCAGGAGUGGUGGCACGCACCUGUGCCAGCUACUCCAGAGGGUGAAGCAAGAGAAUUGCUGAAACCCAGGAGGCGGAGUUUGCAGUGAGCUGAGAUCACACCACUGCAUUCUAGCCUCGGGGACAAGAAUGAAACUCCAUCUCAAAAAAAAAAAAAAAAAAAAGAGAUGUAACCCUGUAACCCUUGGAGGUCAGGUGCCUCCUGCCUGUAAUCCCAGUGCUUUCGGAGGCUGAAGCAGGAGGGUUGCUUGAGCCCAGGAGUUCAAGACAAGUCUGCGCAAUAUAGUGAAACCCCGUCUCUAUAAAAAAUUAGCCAGGCAUGGUGGCACAUACCUGUAGUCCCAGCUCAGGGGCUGGGACU
rnacentral:lncRNA from 1 species